UACGGAGGAUGCAAGCGUUAUCCGGAAUUAUUGGGCGUAAAGCGCGCGCAGGCGGUCCUUUAAGUCUGAUGUGAAAGCCCACGGCUCAACCGUGGAGGGUCAUUGGAAACUGGGGGACUUGAGUACAGAAGAGAAGAGUGGAAUUCCACGUGUAGCGGUGAAAUGCGUAGAGAUGUGGAGGAACACCAGUGGCGAAGGCGACUCUUUGGUCUGUAACUGACGCUGAGGCGCGAAAGCGUGGGGAGCAAACAGG
rnacentral:rRNA from 1 species